rnacentral:lncRNA from 1 species
UAAAUUCCAAUUAAAUUCGAAUUCUACAGCGGGAAAGAGUGUCGGAGAAACACAACUCCAAAACUGUGUCCUCAUCGGUUAUCAACAUCUCACUUCGUCAAAUCUUCAAUCUCGAUAACGUCUGCUGGCUUCGGUUCCUCCUAUUCCCAACCCAAAGGCGCCACUAUAGUAAGUUUUCUGGAGUCUCUUAAAAUUAAUUACUAUGUCAUUCGAUCUUGAUAUAUAUAUAUAUAUAUAUAUAUAUAUAUAUAUAUAUAUAUAUAUAUCACUUUAAAACCCAGGUUUUAUUAUUCUCCCUUCUCAAGUUGUGAGAGUCAUUUUGAAAUUUUGGAGUUAACUUUGAAACAUUUAAAAAUUGAUUCUAAACUUAUUUUUAAAAAAAAAUUAUUUGUACAUUUAUUUAAUUUUAGUUAAAAUACAAUUAUGAAUAUCACAAAUUAUAAACUAUUAAAAAACUCAUCGGAAGAUAUAUUGUUUUUUAAAGUUAAUUUUGUUAGGUCAAUUUUGAAAUUGAGAUGUCUAAUUCAAUGGAGGGAGUAAUAAGUAGAUGUGUAUUUGUUGGUACUAGUUGAUGGCCCGUGCAAUACAGGACCUAGUUUGAAUAAUUAAUUUAAUAAUAACAGAUUUAUGUAAAUUAGAUGAAUUCCAACAACAUUAAAAAAAUAAUAAUUUGAAACAACAAUCAACACAAUAAUUAUAAAUUAAGAAGUAAAAUAAUGUAUAAUUCAGUAAUUAGUUUUACUCGUCACUAGAGUCUCCUUAGUGAAAGAUGGUUCCCUAAAUUCGUCUUAUCUAAAUUUGAAACCAAUGGAAUGGGUCAGGUAUUGAGCUUCGAGCACAACCAGCAACUUAUAAUACUCAGUAAGCUCAUCUUGCAGUACAGACAAUAGGUUUGCCCAAUAGUUCCAACAUUUUCACCUCUUCAAGCAUCUUUUUAUCAUAUAUGUAUAAAGCAGUUUUCACUGUGUUCUUAAAAACUAUACAGAAGAAAACAAAAUUUGCCUCGGCGCCUCUUGAUAUUUAAGGCACUUUCACCUCUUCAAGCAUCUCUUUACCAUAUAUGUAUAAAGCGGAAUAAAUGUUUUCACUGUGUUCUUAAAAAUUCUACAGGAGAAAAUAAAAUUUGUCACUUGCGAAAGUGUAAGAAGACAAUAACAAACUUUAAAACACUUAAAGAGUCCUUUUUUAUAGAUGACCCUAGGUAUUUUUGAGAAGUGGAUUGAGCUAUACUCCAGCCUUCAAGAGGACUCUAAGUCCUACGAAUGCGAUUAGAGCAGGGUAGGGAACUAGCUGCUUUGCGGGACCAACUGUUACCCCUUGUGGAAAGGUAAAAACCACCUCUAGACCUUGUAAGAGCCACCUCUAAAAUCCUGCACUGCCCAAAAAAUGAUCCAGAGUACUAUUUGUGGCUUGAUCCAUGCACAACAUAAAAUCUAAAUUUCAAGCAUUUAUUAAUAACUACUACUGAAAGUACAAUCAUUUCAUGGAUGAAUAUAUUUUCAUUUCUCACAUUACUACUUAAUCUAUUAGACAACUAUAUUUAACAGUUCAACCUUCGUACCUAACUUUUAAGGCUUUUAUGUGUUAAAUCAACGACCAAUAUACAUUAAUUUGCAAGAAUUUACAUAUACUGAAAGCAUACAUACAACUUAAUAAAUGAAUAGAACUUGCCAAAAACAGAUAGAAACACACAUACAACAACUUCACAAUUACCUCAAGACACAAAUCAAUACUUAUAUAUAAAGACACGUCCAAGGAUGACAACAACAUAUGAAAAACAACCCAAUAUUUGAAAUCUAUAGGACAAAUUGAUGAUACAUUAAAGAGAGAAAAAUUUGAAUUCUAAAUAAUCUAGCCAAAUUUAGAAAAAUUCUUUGUGCUCAGAAGGAAGAAAAGCAAAUUAUCUUUCAAAACUGAGUUUUUUCACUCUUAAACAUUACUCAAAAUGCAAGAAAAAUAGCAUAAUCAAUGGUUUUAUGAAGUAAAAAUUCAUUCGCAAGAAGGAACAGAAAAGAUACACAACUUGAUUAGUCAAAUGCCACAUCUAACCCAACAUUUCUACAAAACCCAAUUACCCAACCAUAAUCUUUAUACAAUGAACUCACCAAUUAUUCAUAAUCACAUUCUUUCCCACUGCAACAAAUAUCGUAUUUUCAGCAUCACACAGACCUUCUCUCUCAAUUACUACCUCAUUCCCCAUCAAUUCCAAGCUACCAAAAAUGAAUAUACAAUCAUUUCAUGCAUGAAUAUAUUUUCAUUUCUCACAUUACUACUAAAUCUAUUAAACAACUAUAUUUAAUAGUUCAGUCUUCGUACCUAACUUUCAAGGCUUUUCUGUGUUAAAUCAACGGCCAAUAUACAUUAAUUUGCAAGAACUCAGUUGUUAAAUUCCAAAUAUACACAUACUGAAAGCAUACAUAUAACUUAAUAAAUAAAUAGAACUUGCUAAAAACAGAUAGAAACACACAUACAACAACUUCACAAUUACCUCAAGACACAAACCAAUACUCAUAUAUAAAGUCACGUCCAAGGAUGACAACAACAUAUGAAAAACAACCCAAUAUUUGAAAUCCAUACGACAAAUUGAUGCUACAUUAAAGAGAGAAAAAUCUGGAUUCUAAACAAUCUAGCCAAAUUUAGAAAAAUUCUCUGUGCUAUGAUGGAAGAAAAGCCCUUCAUCUUUCAAAACAGAGAUUUUUCACACUCUUAAACAUUACUCAAAAUGUAAGCAAAAUAGCAGAAUCAAUUGUUUUAUGAGUUAAAAUUCAUUCGCAAGAAGGAACAGAAAAGGUACCUAAGGAGAGCACUCCAGAAGCCAUUGGGACAAUUGCACAAGCAGGUAGAAUGCAACUUCUCCCAUUGCCAUUAUGUGAUGAACAAAAUUGGGGGCAAUACUCAAUUAAAUCAGGUACACAACAACAUAUGAAAAACAAUCCAAUAUUCGAAAUCCAUACGACAAAUUGAUGCUACAUUAAAAAGAGAUAAAUUAAUUGCUUAACAAUUAGUCAUUACUGUGGAUUGUGAAUUAACACACAUUGCUCUUAACUUGCUAUAUAACACAUCAAAAUCACUCAAUAACGAAGAGAAUUACCACCAAACCAAUAUUAAUCAAGUAAUAGGCAAGUAUGCUAGGAAUUGAUUAUUUGUUAUUUUAUUUUUUGGGAUAAAUCUCAAACAAUGUACACUCAACAUGUUUACUUCAAUAACUCAAACAAAACACUUGAUUGCAGAAGUGAAAACAACGAUGAAUCACUUUCAUAGUGCUUUCAACAGAAGUUAUACUACUUUUAAAAUUACAGUGAGUUAUUAGCGGAUCUGAGAUUACCUCCGUUGAUUCAUAGAGUUGAUUAUCGUCUGAAACCUCGAAGAUUGAAGACAUAUCGGUUGAGUCAUUCGAUAAUUCGAGCGAGACAUCUUCUGAUCCAGGCGAAUAUACGGAAUUCAAACUUUUAAUGACGACCUGCAGAAGUAGAUUGAAACGAUAGAUUGAAGUAAAAUACAAAGAGUAUCAAAGCGUUGUUCCUAUGUAUAAAUAUAUACACAUAGAGAGUGAGAGAUUGAACUGAAAUUCGAAAUUGAUUAUACUUUUUAAGGCCUUUUAGAUUGUUCAAAGCUCAAUUUGGUUUAGCGAUUGGCGAUCUGAUGCUAAGAUGGUGAAUGUUAGACUGGAACGGAAAAGGGACAUGGAAAAGGGAAUUUGAAAAGGGAUAUAGAAAAGGAAGAGGAAGAGGAAGAUGUCGAUUAAUUUAACCGAGAUGACUCAUCAAAUUAAUUGAGUUAACUCGGUGAUUUUUCAAGUUGCUGGAAAUGAUUUUUCAAAUUAAUUUAAUUUGUUGAUAUCAUUUGACAUCAUCUGUGUUUAUAUUUAAGUAUUGAUGUCGUUAUGCAGUUUUUAUUGCUUUACCACGGAGCAUCUUCAUACUAGUUUGCAUUAUGUGAUUUAUUUAUUUCUGUUUUUGGAAGUUCCCUCAGCAGCAAAGCGCCUCAAUUGAGUUUUGAACCAUGACCUAUACCCUUCGCACCUAUUGUGACACUAACUGCCACUUGAGAAAACCCCCAAGGGGUUUGCAUUCUGGUGUCUUCACUUUAGCUAAGUAAGCAAUAAUGAUCUUCCAAUGAAUCAUAUAAGGUCUAUUUUGAGAAAAUUAAUUUCUGUAUAUACAGUUCAGAUGCUUUUUCUCAUUUGCUUAGACGCUAACAAGUAUUAUUUGAUAUUGUUAAGCUUUACUUGAAACCAAGUUGUGCUAUAUUUAAGGCCCCAAAGUUUGGUUAGACUUGAGGCUCAACAGAAUAGAGCUAAAGAAGCAAAUGCAAAAGCUCUUGUUCUUGGUUAGAAGUGGGUAGUGGUUAUUUUCUAUCUUCAGAUGAUUAGUUUGGCAAUAGAAUUUGUAUGCAAAGUCUUAAAAUUAAAUUAUCAUGUAAUGUACUUACCGAAACCCUUAUUUUGACAUACCAGAUAUCCUGACCAUCUACGGAUAAUCUGUCUGCUGGAAAGGAGUAGCGUAAUAUAUGCAAAUAGCUAGAUGGAUCAAAAAAAUAAAUGUGACGCAUGAAAAAGUUAAGUGCGGAGAAUGCUUCAAUUAGUUUAUAGACUUUCUCUAGCUUUGAUUAUCCCACUUAUGUUAGAUUAUCCCAAUAGCUUUCUACUGGGCCCUAAAUUGUCUGCAUAGCUUGUCCUUGAGUCUACUAUAAAUCUUUGAACUCAUCUUGUCAGUAAAAAUUCUUAUGUAUUGAUAUGCUUGCAGAUGAUGUGACAUGAGUGGUGUAGCAGUGUUUACUUACUGAUUAAUAUUAUCAGAUGAACAAG